AGCGAACGCUGGCGGCAGGCCUAAUACAUGCAAGUCGAACGCUGUAGCAAUACAGAGUGGCAGACGGGUGAGUAACGCGUGGGAACCUUCCCAAUGGUGCGGAAUAGCCCAGGGAAACUUGGGGUAAUACCGCAUAAGCCCUUCGGGGGAAAGAUUUAUCGCCAUUGGAUGGGCCCGCGUCGGAUUAGCUAGUUGGUAGGGUAAUGGCCUACCAAGGCAACGAUCCGUAGCUGGUUUGAGAGAAUGACCAGCCACACUGGGACUGAGACACGGCCCAGACUCCUACGGGAGGCAGCAGUGGGGAAUCUUGGACAAUGGGCGCAAGCCUGAUCCAGCCAUGCCGCGUGAGUGACGAAGGCCUUAGGGUUGUAAAGCUCUUUUGCCGGGGACGAUAAUGACGGUACCCGGAGAAUAAGUCCCGGCUAACUUCGUGCCAGCAGCCGCGGUAACAC
rnacentral:rRNA from 1 species